GCUCAGCAUGCAUGCACACGCAGCGAGCUGCGAGGAGCUUCGUGCGAGGACUGGAAAUCCAACUUGUAUUUUCGAUUGAUUUGCCCAAAAUUUAGGCAUGUCUGUACGCCAUUUUUACGCUUCGGACCUGAUGUGACUGAUGAAUAUUAUGUAUUGUUACAGACUAAGCCAUCUUCAAGCUCGUACACAAAGCGUUUCGGGUAAAAAAUUUUCAGCUUCUGUAAUGAAAUAAUGAUUAACUAUGAAUAUAUUAUUGUGUGUCGAUAAUAUAUUAUUGAACUAGUCUAUAGCCUAUAUGCUCAAGCGCUUCGCACGCGUGCGUGAAUAUGCCAAAAUCUGUGUUAACAACUUGCCAACAAGCUGGGAACAAGCAGUGCGAACAUAUUCUGUUGACAAAUUGUUGGAACAGCAUCGCUACAAGUCUGCUGCAGUUUGAGUUACAACUCGUGUGUUUUUACGUGUGUACCUCGAUUGAUCAAGUUCUCUGGAAAUUCACGUGUACACCACGUUACAAUAUUAAUAUGACCUUGAGGCUUGUAUGUUGAAAAACGGUUAUCUUUCGAAAGCGAAUUUGCAUCGAAGGAUUUUUUUCGAAUUGCUGAAGUGAAUCUUCAAUAAUCGAUCGUAUAACGUUGUCCCGUAUGAUCUUAUUGAAAUACCAACUUUCAUGCAGAACUUGGCCAUGUCGGUUGUGUGGAUAAAGUCGCAAUUUAUAAUUCCACUGUUCAUGAAUCUGAUUUUGAAGGAUUAACAAACAAGGCGUGCUAUUUCAUAUUCCACUCCAUGGUCUGUCAAUAUAUGAUGAUCUGGAAGUCCGGUAAACUUCAAAGCCACAAAAUAGAAGGGCUUUGUUCGAUGUUGAACUGUAGCUCUCCG